rnacentral:rRNA from 1 species
AGAGUUUGAUCAUGGCUCAGAACGAACGCUGGCGGCAGGCUUAACACAUGCAAGUCGAACGCACCGCAAGGUGAGUGGCAGACGGGUGAGUAACGCGUGGGAACCUACCCUUUGGUUCGGAAUAACUCAGGGAAACUUGAGCUAAUACCGGAUACGCCCUUCGGGGGAAAGAUUUAUCGCCAUAGGAUGGGCCCGCGUCGGAUUAGCUAGUUGGUAGGGUAACGGCCUACCAAGGCGACGAUCCGUAGCUGGUCUGAGAGGAUGAUCAGCCACACUGGGACUGAGACACGGCCCAGACUCCUACGGGAGGCAGCAGUGGGGAAUAUUGGACAAUGGGCGAAAGCCUGAUCCAGCCAUGCCGCGUGAGUGAAGAAGGCCUUAGGGUUGUAAAGCUCUUUCAGCGGGGAAGAUAAUGACGGUACCCGCAGAAGAAGCCCCGGCUAACUUCGUGCCAGCAGCCGCGGUAAUACGAAGGGGGCUAGCGUUGUUCGGAAUUACUGGGCGUAAAGCGCGCGUAGGCGGAUAAGUAAGUCAGGGGUGAAAUGCCGAGGCUCAACCUCGGAACUGCCUUUGAUACUGCUAAUCUGGAGUACGGGAGAGGUGAGUGGAAUUCCGAGUGUAGAGGUGAAAUUCGUAGAUAUUCGGAGGAACACCAGAAGCGAAGGCGGCUCACUGGCCCGAUACUGACGCUGAGGCGCGAAAGCGUGGGGAGCAAACAGGAUUAGAUACCCUAGUAGUCC